GCGUAACAGCUCACUAGUCGAGCGGUUCGGCAUGGAUAAUAAUCGGGCAUAAACAUAUUACCGAAGCUAUGGACUUAUUAAUAAGUGGUAGGGGAGCAUUGUAGUGUCGUCGAAGGUGAGUCGUGAGGCUUGCUGGAGAAGCUACAAAAGAAAAUGUAGGCAUAAGUAACGAUAAUGCGGGCGAGAAACCCGCACUCCGAAAGACUAAGGUUUCCUCAGCUAUGCUAAUCAGCUGAGGGUUAGUCGGGUCCUAAGGCGAAUCCGA
rnacentral:rRNA from 1 species